rnacentral:rRNA from 1 species
AUUGAACGCUGGCGGCAGGCCUAACACAUGCCAGUCGAACGGUAACAGGAAGCUGCUUGCUGCUUUGCUGACGAGUGGCGGACGUGUGAGUAAUGUCUGGGAAACUUCGCGAUGGAGGGGGAUAACUACUGGAAACGGUAGCUACUACCGCAUAACGUCGCAAGACCAAAGAGGGGGACCUUAGGGCCUCUUGCCAUCGGAUGUGCCCAGAUGGGAUUAGCUAGUAGGUGGGGUAACGGCUCACCUAGGCGACGAUCCCUAGCUGGUCUGAGAGGAUGACCAGCCACACUGGAACUGAGACACGGUCCAGACUCCUACGGGAGGCAGCAGUGGGGAAUAUUGCACAAUGGGCGAAAGCCUGAUGCAGCCAUGCCGCGUGUAUGAAGAAGGCCUUCGGGUUGUAAAGUACUUUAAGCGGGGAGGAAGGGAGUAAAGUUAAUACCUUUGCUCAUUGACGGUACCAGCAGAAGAAGCACCGGCUAACUUCGUG